rnacentral:rRNA from 1 species
GCUGGGUGGAUUAGUGGCGAACGGGUGAGUAACACGUGAGUAACCUGCCCCUGACUCUGGGAUAAGCGUUGGAAACGACGUCUAAUACUGGAUAUGAUCACUGGCCGCAUGGUCUGGUGGUGGAAAGAUUUUUUGGUUGGGGAUGGACUCGCGGCCUAUCAGCUUGUUGGUGAGGUAAUGGCUCACCAAGGCGACGACGGGUAGCCGGCCUGAGAGGGUGACCGGCCACACUGGGACUGAGACACGGCCCAGACUCCUACGGGAGGCAGCAGUGGGGAAUAUUGCACAAUGGGCGAAAGCCUGAUGCAGCAACGCCGCGUGAGGGAUGACGGCCUUCGGGUUGUAAACCUCUUUUAGUAGGGAAGAAGCGAAAGUGACGGUACCUGCAGAAAAAGCACCGGCUAACUACGUGCCAGCAGCCGCGGUAAUACGUAGGGUGCAAGCGUUGUCCGGAAUUAUUGGGCGUAAAGAGCUCGUAGGCGGUUUGUCGCGUCUGCUGUGAAAUCCCGAGGCUCAACCUCGGGCUUGCAGUGGGUACGGGCAGACUAGAGUGCGGUAGGGGAGAUUGGAAUUCCUGGUGUAGCGGUGGAAUGCGCAGAUAUCAGGAGGAACACCGAUGGCGAAGGCAGAUCUCUGGGCCGUAACUGACGCUGAGGAGCGAAAGCAUGGGGAGCGAACAGGAUUAGAUACCCUGGUAGUCCAUGCCGUAAACGUUGGGCGCUAGAUGUAGGGACCUUUCCACGGUUUCUGUGUCGUAGCUAACGCAUUAAGCGCCCCGCCUGGGGAGUACGGCCGCAAGGCUAAAACUCAAAGGAAUUGACGGGGGCCCGCACAAGCGGCGGAGCAUGCGGAUUAAUUCGAUGCAACGCGAAGAACCUUACCAAGGCUUGACAUACACCGGAAACGGCCAGAGAUGGUCGCCCCCUUGUGGUCGGUGUACAGGUGGUGCAUGGUUGUCGUCAGCUCGUGUCGUGAGAUGUUGGGUUAAGUCCCGCAACGAGCGCAACCCUCGUUCUAUGUUGCCAGCGGGUUAUGCCGGGGACUCAUAGGAGACUGCCGGGGUCAACUCGGAGGAAGGUGGGGAUGACGUCAAAUCAUCAUGCCCCUUAUGUCUUGGGCUUCACGCAUGCUACAAUGGCCGGUACAAAGGGCUGCGAUACCGUAAGGUGGAGCGAAUCCCAAAAAGCCGGUCUCAGUUCGGAUUGAGGUCUGCAACUCGACCUCAUGAAGUCGGAGUCGCUAGUAAUCGCAGAUCAGCAACGCUGCGGUGAAUACGUUCCCGGGCCUUGUACACACCGCCCGUCAAGUCAUGAAAGUCGGUAACACCCGAAGCC